rnacentral:rRNA from 1 species
ACGCUCGACACCUACGGGAGCCAGCAGUGGGGAAUAUUGCACAAUGGGGGAAACCCUGAUGCAGCGACGCCGCGUGGAGGAAGAAGGUCUUCGGAUUGUAAACUCCUGUUGUUGGGGAAAAAGAGGAUGGUACCCAACAAGGAAGUGACGGCUAACUACGUGCCAACAGCCGCGGUAAUCUGAGCGGGCUGGCAAGGC